rnacentral:rRNA from 1 species
GAUGAACGCUGGCGGCGUGCCUAAUACAUGCAAGUCGAGCGAACAGACGAGGAGCUUGCUCCUCUGACGUUAGCGGCGGACGGGUGAGUAACACGUGGAUAACCUACCUAUAAGACUGGGAUAACUUCGGGAAACCGGAGCUAAUACCGGAUAAUAUAUUGAACCGCAUGGUUCAAUAGUGAAAGACGGUUUUGCUGUCACUUAUAGAUGGAUCCGCGCCGCAUUAGCUAGUUGGUAAGGUAACGGCUUACCAAGGCAACGAUGCGUAGCCGACCUGAUAGGGUGAUCGGCCACACUGGAACUGAGACACGGUCCAGACUCCUACGGGAGGCAGCAGUAGGGAAUCUGCCGCAAUGGGCGAAAGCCUGACGGAGCAACGCCGCGUGAGUGAUGAAGGUCUUCGGAUCGUAAAACUCUGUUAUUAGGGAAGAACAAAUGUGUAAGUAACUAUGCACGUCUCGACGGUACCUAAUCAGAAAGCCACGGCUAACUACGUG